GACAGAGGAUGCAAGCGUUAUCCGGAAUGAUUGGGCGUAAAGCGUCCGCAGGUGGCAAUGUAAGUCUGCUGUCAAAGCGUCUGGCUCAACCAGAUAAAGGCAGUGGAAACUACAUAGCUAGAGUAAGGUAGGGGUAGAGGGAAUUCCUGGUGUAGCGGUGAAAUGCGUAGAUAUUGGGAAGAACACCGGUGGCGAAAGCGCUCUGCUGGACCUGCACUGACACUGAGGGACGAAAGCUAGGGGAGCGAAAGGG
rnacentral:rRNA from 1 species